rnacentral:rRNA from 1 species
AUACGUAGGGGGCGAGCGUUGUCCGGAAUGAUUGGGCGUAAAGGGCGCGUAGGCGGCUUUGCAAGUCAGUAGUGGAAGUCCAUUUUUCAAGGAUGGAAGUGCUACAGAAACUCCGGAGCUUGAGUGCAGGAGAGGUUAUCGGAAUUCCCGGUGUAGCGGUGAAAUGCGUAGAGAUCGGGAGGAACACCAGUGGCUAAGGCGGGUAACUGGACUGCAACUGACGCUGAGGCGCGAAAGUGUGGGGAGCAAACAGGAUUAGAUACCCUGGUAGUCCACACUGUAAACGAUGAAUGCUAGGUGUAGGAGGUAUCGACCCCUUCUGUGCCGCAGUAAACACAGUAAGCAUUCCGCCUGGGGAGUACGGUCGCAAGAUUAAAACUCAAAGGAAUUGACGGGG